UUUCCACCCAAGACAGCAUGAGUAGAGAGCAGACAGUGAUGACUUCAGGGCCUUGUCAGUGGCACACCCUCAGCAACAGCUAGUUCUGGCUGCGGUUAGUGUCUUGAGAGGAGAGUGUCGGUGGGAGAUAGAUGCUUCAUCUUGAGGCCUGUAGCAUGAGCCCAGAGAGGGAUGGAGGGAAUCUCAAGGCUGAAAUCUGAAAGUAAAUUCUAGGGGAAUCACAGCUGUAGCAGCCCUAGAGAAGCCUCAUGUGGAGAUGGCGGAGACACCAAAACACUUUCCCUGAAUUGCCAGGUCCCUGCACCAGGGACAGUCGCCCCAAACAACUGCUGGAUAUGUGACAGCCUCUGAGUGAGCAGAAAAUAAAGACCCUCCGUGUAAGCCCCUGCAAUGUUGGGGGAGUUUGUUUCUGCAGCACAGCUCAGCCAAUUGCUACUACGAACACUGCUGGAAACUGUUACCUGGGCAAGUCCCUCCCAGCCCUAGGAGUCCAGGAAAUUCUCACUUUCUCUUCUACAUACAGAGCUUUGCUAUUCUUCAGCUGUAACCUGAGUGACAACCAUUGUGACAAUCAGUGCAACAAAAGGACGCUGAUCAAAUGGAGCAGACCGGCUGGGCAUGGUGGUUCAUGCCUGUAAUCCCAGCA
rnacentral:lncRNA from 1 species